CGGGAGGCUUAAUACAUGCAAGUCGAGGGGCAGCAUAGGACUUCGGUUCUGAUGGCGACCGGCGCACGGGUGAGUAACGCGUACACUACCUACCUUUAACAGAGGGAUAGCCCUGGGAAACUGGGAUUAAUACCACAUAGUAUUGCAUAAUUUAUUUUUAUGCAAUUAAAGCUCCGGCGGUUAAAGAUGGGUGUGCGUUAGAUUAGCUAGUUGGUAAGGUAAUGGCUUACCAAGGCUACGAUCUAUAGGGGGCGUGAGAGCGUGGACCCCCACACGGGUACUGAGACACGGACCCGACUCCUACGGGAGGCAGCAGUAAGGAAUAUUGGACAAUGGGCGCAAGCCUGAUCCAGCCAUCCCGCGUGAAGGAUGACGGCCCUAUGGGUUGUAAACUUCUUUUAUUAGGGAAGAAACCUUUUCAUUUAUGAAGAGCUGACGGUACCUAAAGAAUAAGCACCGG
rnacentral:rRNA from 1 species